AGUGAGCGCUGGCGGCGUGCUUAACACAUGCAAGUCGAACGAGAACGGGUUAUAGCUUGCUAUAAUUGUCAGCUAAGUGGCGCACGGGUGAGUAAUGUAUAGGUAAUAUGCCUCUUACUAAGGGAUAACAAAUGGAAACGUUUGCUAAUACCUUAUACUCCUUAUUAACAGAAGUUAGUAAGGGAAAGAUUUAUUGGUAAGAGAUUAGCCUGUAUUGUAUCAGUUAGUUGGUGGGGUAAUGGCUUACCAAGACUAUGACACAUAACUGGUUUGAGAGGAUGAUCAGUCACACUGGAACUGAGACACGGUCCAGACUCCUACGGGAGGCAGCAGUGGGGAAUAUUGCACAAUGGACGAAAGUCUGAUGCAGCAACGCCGCGUGGAGGAUGACACAUUUCGGUGCGUAAACUCCUUUUAUAUGAGAAGAUAAUGACGGUAUUAUAUGAAUAAGCACCGGCUAACUCCGUGCCAGCAGCCGCGGUAA
rnacentral:rRNA from 1 species